ACUUCAAGUGAGUCUUCUUUAUACCUGGAAGACAUAUACCACAAAAUUUUUAUUUCCGUACCGAUAUGGAUCUAGCUCAUAUGCAAGGAACAAAGAAGACCAUCAAAGGAGUCUAUGAGAUGAUUGAGAUUUUACAUGGAAUCAAAGAUGAAAAAUGCUCUCAUAGGAGGCAAAAAACCUUCAAGAGUCGAAGGACAACCUUUCUUUCAAAUAAGAUGGAAAGAUAUUCACACUUGAAACUCCUCUUUCCUUUUUCUGAAAGGUCCAACAUGUGAUGCAGGUUUAAGGACUUACAAAGGUGUUGUCUACGUGACAUACAAGGAUGCAUGUCCGGCAAGACGUUUAUUAGACGAAUGAUAUGGUACUUCUUAAGUUUUUUUUUUUUUAAGAUAAGAAUUCUUUGGCUUAUGUUAUUUAAAAUAUUUUCAGAAUUA